rnacentral:rRNA from 1 species
GAUGAACGCUAGCUACAGGCUCAACACAUGCAAGUCGAGGGGUAACGAGAGGAAAGCUUGCUUUCCUUGUCGACGACCGGCGCACGGGUGAGUAACGCGUAUCCAACCUGCCCCCAACUAGGGAAUAACCUUGCGAAAGUAAGACUAAUACCCUAUAGUUUCCUCAGAUGACAUCUGACGAGGAAUAAAGAUUUAUCGGUUGUGGAUGGGGAUGCGUCUGAUUAGCUUGUUGGCGGGGUAACGGCCCACCAAGGCAACGAUCAGUAGGGGUUCUGAGAGGAAGGUCCCCCACAUUGGAACUGAGACACGGUCCAAACUCCUACGGGAGGCAGCAGUGAGGAAUAUUGGUCAAUGGGCGGAAGCCUGAACCAGCCAAGUAGCGUGCAGGAUGACGGCCCUAUGGGUUGUAAACUGCUUUUAUACAGGAAUAAAGUUAGCCACGUGUGGUUAUUUGUAGGUACUGUAUGAAUAAGGACCGGCUAAUUCCGUGCCAGCCGCCGCGGUAA